ensembl:snRNA U6 U6 spliceosomal RNA
GUGCUCACUUCAGCAGCACAUAUACUAAAAUUGGAACAAUACAGAGAAGAUUAGCAUGACACCUGCGUAAGGAUGACACACAAAUUUGUGAAGUGUUCCUUGUUUUU